CUGAAAAGGGCAGUGGUUUAGCAAGGCCAGAGUUAUUAUCAAAGUCACAAGGACCAGCACCUCAUCUUCUAGAGGAUCCCUGUGUUUGUGACAAGGGCAAAUGAGCAGUCUUAAUUGGCUCAGCUAGAACAAAAAUGUUGCUGCAGGUAAUUUAUAGGCAGCCAAAUUUAUUGUUCAGUGUUCUGGAGAAUUAGAAGUCCAAGAUCAAGGCUCCAACAAAAGUGUUGUCUGCCUUAAGUUAUCUGCUUUGUAGAUAAUGCAUUCUUGCUGUGUUCUUACCUAAUCACAGUUACCAACAAAUUUCCUUCUGGCCUAAUUGAUAAUGGCCCUAAUUCAAUUUAUAAGGGGUAGAGCCCCUAUAACCUAAUCACCUCUGAACAGUACCAUCAACAAACACUAUUGUAGUGUAAGUUCCAACAUGAAUUUCAAGAGGACAAGAAGAGACUAUAAUUAGCUAUGAACCUAGAAUCUAUAGUUUUGGGCUUGAUUUUAGUCUCACUGUCUUAGUGCUUUUGAGUAUAUUCUGAUCUAAAAUCAAAUAGUUUACACAUGAUAUUCAAUCUAGUUCAAGAGAGAAAAUAUAUGCAUAUACCCUUAAAUCCUAUUUAAAAAGCAAAACACAGUAUGAUAAAUACAAAGAAAAUAUUUAGUCUUUGAAUGAAUCAUAUAGUAAAAAGAAAUAUCCAGCAAAUACCAUAGAAAGUCUAAUCUCUCACAGGUAUAUUCAUUUUGAAACUAUGUUUCCAGGGAGGAUGGCAUAGGACACUAAAUAAACAAGUCACCAGUUCAUCCUAAUCCCAAAAGAUAGAAAUUAGAUAGUCAGGACUCUUAGCUCAGUGGUAAGAAUAUAAAUCCCUCAAACUCACAUUCUGUGUCUGUCUUCCUUCUUUCCUCCCUUCCUCCCUUCCUCCCUUCCUCCCUUCCUCCCUUCCUCCCUUCCUCCCUUCCUCCCUUCCUCCCUUCCUCCCUUCCUCCCUUCCUUCCUUUCUUCCUAUGUCUCUUUUCCUUUUCACCUUGAGGGUUUUACUUUGAGAUUUUAAUGCAUAUAUCUUUUGUCUGGUGUAUAAGCUUCCCUGGGUUGUGGGAAAUGGAUGAAUUGUUUAAUAUCACUCAUAGGUUGAGGUUGUAGCAAUACAUUAAGCCAGUGGCAUUAAUCUUCCUCUUUAAAUCGGGAUUCUUCUGAAUCUGCAAUUUCUCCUUCCUAAUACAAUUCAUUCUUAGACCUUUAACUAGUAUCUAUAAAUAUGCUAGCCAGCAAGGCAUAUUACAUGCAUUCUAGCCAGCAGAAGUGGGAUUUAAAUCUUAGGGUAUUAUUUUGUAAAUUGACAAAUAAAACUUGUUUGCAUUUGUGGCAUAUAAAAAUCCUGGUUUUAUAUAGGCUUACAGUGGCAAAUUUUAAACCAAGCUAAUUAUCAAAUGCAUUGCCAGACUCAUUUCAUGGUGAUAGCAUUGAUUCUACUUGGCAACUUUCAAGUUUGUAAUGUGUUAUUAACUAAAGUUAUUCUUCUACAACAUGGUUGUAAUGUUUUGUUUAUUGUUUAAAAGUGUCAGCAUAUGUAGAGGGAGGAGAGUGCACAAGAAAAGCAUAUGUACUAUGCUACAAACCUGCAUGUGGAGGUUAGAGGCCAACUUGGUUCUGUCCUUCCAACCUGUAGGUUCCAGUGAUUGAAAUUAGGUUGCCAGGCUUGUUCUGCUGCCAUUCCUCCAUGCCUAUUGUCGUAUUAAUUUGUAUGCCUCUAAUUAGCGAAACUGAACAGCUUCUCUUACACCUGUUGGCCAUGUUUUGGAGAAAUGUGUAUUUGAGUCCAUCAUGCUUUAUUAGAUUGUAUUUUCUUGCUAUUAUGUUGGCUUGGCUCAUCAUACUUUUGGAUUAAUCCAUUGUGAGAUGUAUGAUUCCAGAUAUUUUCUCCCAUUCUACAAGUUAUCUCAUUAUUGUAUUGAUUGGUUGUUUUUUUUUUCUUUGUUUGUUUUUACUAUGUGGUAAUUUUUAAAAUGCUGUAAGCCAAUUAAUCUGUUUUUGUUAUUUGAUUUGUGCUUUUUUGAGGCCAUGUCCAAAUAUUCAUUGUAUACAAUAAUGCCGUGGAACUUCCUCCAUUGUUUUCUUCCUGAAGCCAUAGUUUUAUGUAUUAUGCUUAUGCUUUUAAUUAGAUUGGACUUUAUGUUUCUAUGUGGUAUGAUAUAAUAAUGUAGUUUCAUUUUUCUGUAAUGGAUAUGCAGUUUGAAUAAUACCAUUUCCUGAGAAGAAUGCCAUUCCUUCUUUGUGUUCUUGGCAUCUUUGAUGAAAAUCAAUUGGCUCUGAAUAUAUAAAUUUAUUUAUGUGUUCUCUAUUUUGUUCCAUUUUUCUAUGCAUCUAUGUCAUGCUUAUUUAUGUUAACUUGAUAUUCUCCAGUUCUACACACUUCCCUCAAAAUGACAGAUUUCACUCUUCUUUUGCCAUUGAACAGUACUCAAUUGUAUGUUACAGCAGAUUCACUUAUCCUUUUCUCCAUUCGUGAAUACCUAGACUGAUUCUGCAACUUGGGCAUUGGGACUAGUAUCAUGAGUCAUGACAGUUCCCCAAAUGGGUAUGUCGAUAGCUCUUUAAUGUUCUGCUUUUACUUUUAAAGUUGAAUAUUCAGAACUGGUAUAGGUGGCUCACAUGGUAAUUACAUUUUUAACUUUUUGAAGAUCCUCCAUGCUAUUUAUUAUAACCAUUGUACUAACUUGCUUUCUUCCAAUGGCAGAUCAGAAUUCCAUUUUCUGUCUGUCUUCUCACCAGCAUUUAUCAUUUUCCUGUUUUGGUGUUUGCUUUGAAUUUGUAAAGCAGUUUGGUAAAAGUGGCAUCUUAAUUAUAUUUAGAAUAUAUGAGCUUGUAACUUCAAAUAAAGUAAGUCUUAAUUUUUGUUUUC
rnacentral:lncRNA from 1 species